rnacentral:rRNA from 1 species
AGAGUUUGAUCCUGGCUCAGGACGAACGCUGGCGGCGUGCUUAACACAUGCAAGUCGAGCGGAAAGGCCCUUCGGGGUACUCGAGCGGCGAACGGGUGAGUAACACGUGAGCAACCUGCCCUUAGCUCUGGGAUAGCUCCGGGAAACCGGAAUUAAUACCGGAUAUGACCUAGGCCGACAUCGGCCGUGGUGGAAAGUUUUUCGGCUAGGGAUGGACUCGCGGCCUAUCAGCUAGUUGGUGGGGUAAUGGCCUACCAAGGCGACGACGGGUAGCCGGCCUGAGAGGGCGACCGGCCACACUGGGACUGAGACACGGCCCAGACUCCUACGGGAGGCAGCAGUGGGGAAUCUUGCGCAAUGGGCGAAAGCCUGACGCAGCGACGCCGCGUGGGGGAUGAAGGCCUUCGGGUUGUAAACCCCUUUCAGCAGGGACGAAGCGAAAGUGACGGUACCUGCAGAAGAAGCGCCGGCUAACUACGUGCCAGCAGCCGCGGUAACACGUAGGGCGCAAGCGUUGUCCGGAAUUAUUGGGCGUAAAGAGCUCGUAGGCGGACUGUUGCGUCCGCUGUGAAAAGCUGGGGCUUAACCCUGGCCUUGCAGUGGAUACGGGCAGACUAGAGGUAGGUAGGGGAGAAUGGAAUUCCCGGUGUAGCGGUGAAAUGCGCAGAUAUCGGGAGGAACACCGGUGGCGAAGGCGGUUCUCUGGGCCUUACCUGACGCUGAGGAGCGAAAGCGUGGGGAGCGAACAGGAUUAGAUACCCUAGUAGUCC